CCUCCUUCCCAUGGCUUCGUGCACCCUUACCGGCCGUCGAGCUCGUCGGAAAAUUCAUGAAAAUGGUGAACCCUAUUUUGCUCUGUUUCAGUCGGGCCCUUUCCUCUCUUUUCCGGCCACCGACGCCGCUGAUUGCGGCGUCUAACCCCUAGGAUAGGACCCUUGCCUCCUAGCCUUCCUUCUCUAUGGGUCUUGGCCGCUGGCGACCAGUCAAUGACCGGAAAAUAAGAGGUAAGGGGCGGAUCCCCUGUU
rnacentral:lncRNA from 1 species